UACGGAGGGUGCAAGCGUUAUCCGGAUUCACUGGGUUUAAAGGGUGCGUAGGUGGGUUGGUAAGUCAGUGGUGAAAUCCCCGAGCUUAACUUGGGAACUGCCAUUGAUACUAUCAGUCUUGAAUAUUGUGGAGGUUAGCGGAAUAUGUCAUGUAGCGGUGAAAUGCUUAGAUAUGACAUAGAACACCGAUAGCGGAGGCAGCUAACUAAGCGAUCAUUGACACUGAGAGACGAAAGCUAGGGGAGCGAAUGGG
rnacentral:rRNA from 1 species